rnacentral:rRNA from 1 species
UCUACCUACGGGGGGCAGCAGUGAGGAAUAUUGGUCAAUGGGCGAGAGCCUGAACCAGCCAAGUCGCGUGAAGGAUGACGGCCCUACGGGUUGUAAACUUCUUUUGUCAGGGAGCAAUUGGGUCCACGCGUGGGCUUAGCGAGAGUACCUGAAGAAAAAGCAUCAGCUAACUCCGUGCCAGCAGCCGCGGUAAUACGUAGGGUGUGAGCGUUAAUCGGAAUUACUGGGCGUAAAGGGUGCGCAGGCGGUUGAGUAAGA